UGGGGAAUCUUGCGCAAUGGCCGAAAGGCUGACGCAGCGACGCCGCGUGGGGGAUGAAGGUUUUCGGAUCGUAAACCCCUGUUGCCCGGGACGAACGACGUCUUUCGAGACGUGUGACGGUACCGGGUGAGGAAGCACCGGCCAACUAUGUGCCAGCAGCCGCGGUAAUACAGAGGGUGCGAGCGUUGUCCGGAAUCACUGGGCGUAAAGGGCGAGUAGGCGGUUUGGCAAGUCUAUGGUGAAAGCUCGUCGCUCAACGACGAGUCGGCCACGGAUACUGCUGAACUGGAGCACUGUAGAGGCAGGUGGAAUUCCGGGUGUAGCGGUGGAAUGCGUAGAGAUCCGGAAGAACACCGGUGGCGAAGGCGGCCUGCUGGGCAGUAGCUGACGCUGAGGCGCGACAGCGUGGGGAGCAAAC
rnacentral:rRNA from 1 species